rnacentral:rRNA from 1 species
GGCGAGUGAGCGGCAAAAGCUCAAAUUUGAAAUCUGGCUCUUUCAGAGUCCGAGUUGUAAUUUGAAGAAGGUAUCUUUGGGUCUGGCUCUUGUCUAUGUUUCUUGGAACAGAACGUCACAGAGGGUGAGAAUCCCGUGCGAUGAGAUGAUCCAGGCCUAUGUAAAGUUCCUUCGAAGAGUCGAGUUGUUUGGGAAUGCAGCUCUAAGUGGGUGGUAAAUUCCAUCUAAAGCUAAAUAUUGGCGAGAGACCGAUAGCGAACAAGUACAGUGAUGGAAAGAUGAAAAGAACUUUGAAAAGAGAGUGAAAAAGUACGUGAAAUUGUUGAAAGGGAAGGGCUUGAGAUCAGACUUGGUAUUUUGUAUGUUACUUCUUCGGGGGUGGCCUCUACAGUUUAUCGGGCCAGCAUCAGUUUGGGCGGUAGGAGAAUUGCGUUGGAAUGUGGCACGGCUUCGGUUGUGUGUUAUAGCCUUCGUCGAUACUGCCAGCCUAGACUGAGGACUGCGGUUUAUACCUAGGAUGUUGGCAUAAUGAUCUUAAGUCGCCCGUCUUGAAACACGGACACAA